AAAACAUAGCCCCCUGAAAUUUUAAUAGGGGGUGCAGCCUGCCCAGUGGAAGAUUUUUUCUAAACGGCCGCGGUAUCCUGACCGUGCAAAGGUAGCAUAAUCACUUGUCUCUUAAAUGGGGACCUGUAUGAAUGGCUUCACAUUCUUAAACUGUCUCCCUUUUCUCCCUCAUAAAUUUCUAUUCACGUGAAGAAGCGUGUAAAAACGAGAAAGACGAGAAGACCCUGUCGAGCUUUAGUCCACACCGAAAUGGGUGAGACUCUUAGAGAAACAAAAAAUUUUCGGCUUAGACUUUGGUUGGGGUAACCAUGGAGGAAAACAAACCUCCAGUUUUUUAGGUAGAAAUCCUUUCACCUAAAGACCUUUUUAGAACCAGUAACUCUGGAAAACGGAAAAAGUUACCGCAGGGAUAACAGCGUUAUCUCCUCUAAGAGCUCAUAUUGACGAGGAGGAUUGCGACCUCGAUGUUGGAUUGGGGUAACCCAAGGGUGCAGAAGCUCUUGAAGGUCGGACUGUUCGUCCGUUAAUUCCCUACGUGAUCUGAGUU
rnacentral:rRNA from 1 species